UACAGAUCUCUCCUGAUCAGCUGAUGUCCUUUGGUGGCUCCACAGACCCUUGUGCUAUGUGCUUUCUCUACAGCAUUGGAAAGAUAGGGGAGCAGGAGAACAAGGUCUAUUCCAAAUUGCUUUGUGACCUGCUGAACAAACAGCUGAAAAUACCAUCUGACAGAAUCUAUGUCAGCUUCUUUGACAUCAGUGCUGGCAAUGUGGGCUGGAACAACACCACCUUUGCUUGAGGUGCCCUCGGGUGGUAAAAGCUUAUUCCUGGACCCUCACCCUGGGUUUUGAGCCCUGCAGUUCUAGUCAUGUUACCAGUAUCUGGCACAAACGCAAAAGGCAGUGGUUCCAUACUUGCUGCUACCUGCUGCUGUUUAACGCUUGUCUGCUUCUUAAAUAAAAGUAAAAAUACAGCAGGAGUCU